rnacentral:rRNA from 1 species
AAUAGAUACCCUGGUAGUCCACGCCGUAAACGAUGGGUGCUUGUUGUUGGAGGAAAAACCCUUUCAGUAACGAAGCUAACGCGUUAAGCAUCCCGCCUGGGGAGUACGGUCGCAAGAUUAAAACUCAAAGAAAUUGACGGGGACCCGCACAAGCAGUGGAGCAUGUGGUUCAAUUCGACGCAACGCGAAGAACCUUAUCCUAGCCUUGACAUGCCCGGACCGACGGUGAAAGCCGUUUUUUCCCGCAAGGGAACUGGGACACAGGUGCUGCAUGGCUGUCGUCAGCUCGUGUCGUGAGAUGUUGGGUUAAGUCCCGUGACGAGCGCAACCCACGCCUCUUGUUGCCAUCAUUAAGUUGGGCACUCUAGAGGGACUGCCAGCGUUAAGCUGGAGGAAGGUGUGGAUGACGUCAAGUCCUCAUGGCCCUUAUGGCUAGGGCUACACACGUGCUACAAUGCGCGGUACAAAGGGUCGCGAAACUGUGAAGUGAAGCUAAUCCCAAAAAACCGCGCUCAGCUCGGAUUGAAGUCUGC